rnacentral:sRNA from 1 species
GCCGUGAGGUGUUGGGUUAAGUCCCGCAACGAGCGCAACCCUCACUCUAUGUUGCCAUCGGGUAAUGCCGGGCACUCUUAGGGAACCGCCGGCGAAGAGCUGGAGGAAGGGGGGGAUGACGUCAAGUCCGUAUGCCCCUUAUGUCCAGGGCUACACACAUGCUACAAUGGCCGAUACAGAGGGUUCCCAACCCGCGAGGGGGAGGCAAUCCCACAAAGUCGGUCUCAGUUCGGAUUGCAGGCUGCAACUCGCCUGCAUGAAGUCGGAAUCGCUAGUAAGCGCAGAUCAGCAGGCUGCGCUGAAUACGUUCCCGGGCCUUGUACACACCGCCCGUCACACCACGAAAGCCGGUUGUACCAGAAGUCGCUGAGCCAACCGCAAGGAAGCAGGCGCCGAAGGUAUGGUCGGUGAUUGGGGUGAAGUCGUAACAAGGUAGCCGUAGGGGAACCUGCGGCUGGAUCACCUCCUUUCUAAGGAGCUUCGAGGGUCCGGGGGUCCAACCGGAUCUCCGGGCCCUCCAAUGCUCAAGUUCCGCAGUACCGCUUACCCUUCCCGUCUGAGCCAGUAGCAUUAUUUCUCUUGGGCCUUUAGCUCAGCUGGCUAGAGCGCGCGCUUGAUAAGCGCGAGGUCCCUGGUUCGACCCCAGGAAGGCCCACCAGAAUAGGCUGUUGGGGAUGUAGCUCAGUUGGGAGAGCACCUGCUUUGCAAGCAGGGGGUCGCCGGUUCGACUCCGGUCAUCUCCACCAAGCGCGAACGCGAUACGAGUGUCGCGGCCCUGGCCGCGAAGCUCUUUGACAAUCGAAUACGAUGAUUCUCGAGUGUAGCCAAGCGAUGUUCUCCUUAGGCAAUUAGAAGUUCGUGGUCAAGCUACUAAGGGCGAACGGUGGAUGCCUUGGCGCCAGGAAGCGAUGAAGGGCGUGGCUAGCUGCGAUAAGCCUCGGGGAGCCGCAAGCAGGCUUUGAUCCGAGGAUGC